GAUGAACGCUAGCUACAGGCUUAACACAUGCAAGUCGAGGGGCAGCAUGAAGUCAGCUUGCUGACUUUGAUGGCGACCGGCGCACGGGUGAGUAACGCGUAUCCAACCUUCCCCUUACUCAGGAAUAGCCCGUUGAAAGACGGAUUAAUGCCUGAUGUUCUCUUUUUCCGGCAUCGGUAAUAGAGCAAAGAUUCAUCGGUAAGGGAUGGGGAUGCGUAUGAUUAGCUUGUUGGCGGGGUAACGGCCCACCAAGGCGACGAUCAUUAGGGGUUCUGAGAGGAAGGUCCCCCANACUGGAACUGAGACACGGUCCAGACUCCUACGGGAGGCAGCAGUGAGGGAAUAUUGGGUCGAAAUGGAAGGCAACUCUGAACCAGCCAAGUAGCGUGCAGGAUGACGGCCCUA
rnacentral:rRNA from 1 species